rnacentral:rRNA from 1 species
UACAGAGGGUGCGAGCGUUGUUCGGAAUUAUUGGGCGUAAAGGGCGCGUAGGCGGUGCGGUAAGUCACCUGUGAAAUCUCCUGGCUCAACUGGGAGCGUGCAGGCGAAACUGCCGUGCUGGAGUGUGGGAGAGGUGCGUGGAAUUCCCGGUGUAGCGGUGAAAUGCGUUGAUAUCGGAAGGAACGCCGGUGGCGAAAGCGACGGACUGGAUCUCUUCUGACGCUGAGGCGCGAAAGCCAGGGGAGCAAACGGG